CCUACGGGAGGCAGCAGUGAGGAAUAUUGGUCAAUGGGCGGAAGCCUGAACCAGCCAAGUCGCGUGAGGGAAUAAGGCCCUACGGGUCGUAAACCUCUUUUGCCGGGGAGCAAGGGCGGGGACGUGUCCCGGCCCGGAGAGUACCCGGAGAAAAAGCAUCGGCUAACUCCGUGCCAGCAGCCGCGGUAAUACGGAGGAUGCGAGCGUUAUCCGGAUUUAUUGGGUUUAAAGGGUGCGUAGGCGGGGUUUUAAGUCAGCGGUAAAAGUUCGGGGCUCAACCCCGUCCGGCCGUUGAAACUGGCGGCCUUGAGUGGGCGAGAAGAAGGCGGAAUGCGUGGUGUAGCGGUGAAAUGCAUAGAUAUCACGCAGAACCCCGAUUGCGAAGGCAGCCUGCCGGCGCCCUACUGACGCUGAGGCACGAAAGUGCGGGGAUCGAACAGGAUUAGAUACCCGUGUAGUC
rnacentral:rRNA from 1 species